rnacentral:lncRNA from 1 species
CCCCCACUUAUAAGCACAUUGUCUGACCAUCUCCUAUCCGAUGUGGGACUCUUAACAAGGUAUUGUGAAUUAAAACAUAUUUAUUUAAGUUUGACAUAAUAUCAAUUCAAUGAGUACAUUUCAUUAUAUAGAAUCACCCAUACACAUUAUUUAUUUGUUUAUUUACUACUGUUGCAAAUCUCCAAGCUUGAAUCACUUUCUGUAUGAAUUGCACGAGCACCUACAAAAGAAAAAACAUAUUUGUAUUUGCAAAAAAAAAGACAAUAAUAGAUGAAGAGAAAGUAAAUCUAGACACAAUUGUUGAUGGUGUAAGAUCAUAGUAAUGUUUUCUCGUUCUUACCGGCGCCUAGCAGUUUUUAUUCUCACAGUCUAUCACGCAUGCUUCAUAGUCGUGUAUUAUGUGUGGAAGACAUGACAUGGUACACUUUAUUUCACAAGAUGUUCUUGGCCAUCCUUUGAGUUUAGUUGGCUCAAAUUCUUGAGAUGGAGAGUUGCAUUCAACAUGUGUUACAAUUAACAUAAUCAUUAACAUCAUUACAGCACAUUUUCUUAUCAUGCUUACUUCCAUGACUCUUUUUGAUGAAGUAAAUUUUAACAAUCUCUAUUAUAAU